GGGGUUGUGGCUCAGUGGUAGAGCGCUCUCCUCACACGUGCGAGACCCUGGGUUCAAUCCUCAGCACCA
rnacentral:tRNA from 1 species